AGCCAUUAGGGUGGAGACUCUGACCUAAUGCUGGCAGCUUUAUAGAAAGAGGGAGAGACUAGUUCUCUCUCUCUCUCUCUCUCUCUCUCUCUCUCUCUCUCACACACACACACACACACACACACACACACACACACACACACAUACACACACACAAACACACAUGUUUCUCAACAUGUGCUACCCUGCACCAUCUAGAUGCUGCCAGCAAGAAAGCUUUCACCAGAUACAGCUCCUUGACCUUGGACCAGAACUGUGAGCCACAGUGAACCAGUGCCGACUGCAGCUGUAGAGAGAGCAGUACUGCCACCACCACUCAGCAGACAGAUUCUCCAGCCCAGUGUUUUACCCUCACAUUGAACAGGUAGAACAUGCUGCUUGGGAGUCUAUCUCAGCCUGCGCUCUAAAAAUACAGCAGUGGGAAGCAUUCUGCACUCACCACUGUACUACAGAGAUGCCCAGACACAAGUUCAAUGUGACCCUCAACUACUCCGG
rnacentral:lncRNA from 1 species